ACGCUCGACACCACGGAGGGCAGCAGUCGGGAAUAUUGCGCAAUGGAGGAAACUCUGACGCAGUGACGCCGCGUGCAGGAAGAAGGUUUUCGGAUUGUAAACUGCUUUAGACAGGGAAGAACAAAUGACAGUACCUGUAGAAUAAGCUCCGGCUAACUACGUGCCGCAGCCGCGGUAAUACUGAGCGGGCGUGGCGAAGGACG
rnacentral:rRNA from 1 species